GUUGUUGAAAGUGCUACAGGGAAUGUGCUGACCGCACCUCAACAUAGCCUAAGAAACAGGGUGAUUGCGCACGACAAACAACGCAAUUGAGAAUAAACUGAUAACUGCAAGCAUUUUCAAGACUUGAGAAGAAGGAUUCCAUAAUAUCUCAAACCUCUAUUUGUUGUUUUUGUCCCAAAAGUUGAAGCCUCCAUUAGAUCCAGAUGUUGCAAAUGUGUGAUAUAUCUAAGAGAAGGCAUAUAGUAUGAGAUCCAAGUCAUUAAUAAAUAAAACAUGAAUUCUAUCGAAUUUUUAGCACAAUAACAUAAAAUUCUUUUAGCAUUAAGCUCAUAAUUUAGGAAGCAGUCAAUGAGAAUAAUUAGGAAGCAACAAUCUCUUAACAUAAAAGAUAAAGGCUGUAAUGAUUAAAUAAAUUUUUAGAAGUUGGAGAUGAUUAAAAAUUUGUAAACCUCAUAUACGUAAGCAUACUAAUAACCUCGAAUUUAAGACUUGUAUCUUUAACAAUUUAGUAACGUAAUAGUUCAUAACUACUUAAAAUAUCGGAUUGGAAAACAAACAGAUAAAAUCAAGGGAAAAACUAUUUUCAGACCCACCAUUCUUGAUGUUAUCACAAAUUAGCAAGCUCGAUUGAUCCACACAACAAGAAAAAUAGAAUGAUUCUCCAUGUAACAAGAGGCAGUUAUGAGAUUCUACCUCAUUAUUUUCUUCUCAUUUGUUGAUCUCAUGAAAUGUUGAAAAUGCACAACAAAAUUCUGCUUUUAUUUUGAUUAUAAAACUUAACAAGGUGCCAUCUUCAGAUAGUGCCUUGAAAAAAAAAAAAAAAAGAAAGAAAGAAAGAAAGAAGGAAAACUCUAGUUUGGGAUAUUCCAUGUUCUUUCAAGAUUGUCUUCCCAUGUAACAAGCUAAGCUCAACAUUAAAUUUAAUGAAGAGCUGAAAAACUUUAUUUCACUGUCUUCAGAGCAUUGUUAAUGAUCAAUUUUAGGUCAAGGUAGACAUAGGUAAGCCCAAACUUACCCACAAUAGUGCCUAUCAAAAUGAUUGGCCAUGAAAGUUUUAGCACCGCACUCAGCGUUGGGACACUCCUUGCACAACCUCUGGACCUUGCCUAAGUCAUCGACCUCGUAGAUCUAGAUGACGACGAGCUUU
rnacentral:lncRNA from 1 species